rnacentral:rRNA from 1 species
AGUGAACGCUGGCGGUAGGCCUAACACAUGCAAGUCGAACGGCAGCACAGUAAGAGCUUGCUCUUACGGGUGGCGAGUGGCGGACGGGUGAGGAAUACAUCGGCAUCUACUUUUUCGUGGGGGAUAACGUAGGGAAACUUACGCUAAUACCGCAUACGACCUACGGCUGAAAGCAGGGGAUCUUCGCACCUUGCGCGAUUGUAUGAGCCGAUGUCGGAUUAGCUAGUCGGCGGGGUAAAGGCCAACCAAGGCGACGAUCCGUAGCUGGUCUGAGAGGAUGAUCAGCCACACUGGAACUGAGACACGGUCCAGACUCCUACGGGAGGCAGCAGUGGGGAAUAUUGGACAAUGGGCGCAAGCCUGAUCCAGCCAUACCGCGUGGGUGAAGAAGGCCUUCGGGUUGUAAAGCCCUUUUGUUGGGAAAGAAAAGCAGCAGGUUAAUACCCCGCUGUUCUGACGGUACCCAAAGAAUAAGCACCGGCUAACUUCGUG